UGAGGCCUUAAGAUGCAUCAGUAUUGCUAAGGAGGCAAUUGUGUCAGGCAAUAAGAAGAAAGCACUUAAGUAUAUUGGAAUCGCAUGCCGCCUUGACAGUAAACUAGACGUCGAUGAUCUUUUGGUUGCUUGUGAAAAGCUUGAUGCCUCAACUUAUGAUCACCCUAGUGAGAUCGGAGAUGUCUCGAGUGAGAAACAUGUCAAAUCUGAUGAGGAGAGGAACUAUACUGAAGAACACGUGCAUUUGGUUACACAAAUUAAGAGCAUAAAGGA
rnacentral:misc_RNA from 1 species